CCACACUGGAGAAAUAGUUUAGUAAAAGCAGCUACCAAAUCUUUAGUAGCAAAAACAUUGACGAAGCGAUUUGGAGUUGGCCUUAAAAUUAUAUGCAGUACAAUCAUUCAUCAUAAACAAAUCGGAGAUAAGUAUUCGUUUUUUUUACAUCAUUACAUCAGUCACCUCGGUCGGGAAACUAUUUUCAUAUUCCCGCCAAGGAUAAACAUCAGUUAUAUUUUAUACAUUACAACAC